GGCGAGGUAGAGCAGUCUGGUCAGCUCGUUAGGCUCAUGCCCUGAAAGUCGUUGGUUCGAAUCCAACCUUCGUUA
rnacentral:tRNA from 1 species